rnacentral:rRNA from 1 species
ACUCCUACGGGAGGCAGCAGUGGGGAAUAUUGCACAAUGGGGAAACCCUGAUGCAGCCAUGCCGCGUGUGUGAAGAAGGCCUUCGGUUGUAAAGCACUUUCAGUAGGGAGGAAGGUAGUGUAGUUAACACCUGCAUUAUUUGACGUUACCUACAGAAGAAGCACCGGCUAACUCCGUGCCAGCAGCCGCGGUAAUACGGAGGGGUGCGAGCGUUAAUCGGAAUUACUGGGCGUAAAGCGCAUGCAGGCGGCCUGUUAAGUCAGAUGUGAAAGCCCGGGGGCUUAACCUCGGAAUUGCAUUUGAAACUGGCAGGCUAGAGUCUUGUAGAGGGGGUAGAAUUUCAGGUGUAGCGGUGAAAUGCGUAGAGAUCUGAAGGAAUACCGGUGGCGAAGGCGGCCCCCUGGACAGAUACUGACACUCAGAUGCGAAAGCGUGGGGAGCAAACAGGAUUAGAUACCCUGGUAGACUGUCA